UCUUGCGGUGUUUGGCAAUGGUAGAACUCACACUGGUGAGGUAGAUGGAUCCGGUGGUUCUAGACUUGCCAACCACUGCUUGAGA
rnacentral:pre_miRNA from 22 species